AUUGAACGCUGGCGGCAGGCCUAACACAUGCAAGUCGAACGGUAACAGGAAGAAGCUUGCUUCUUUGCUGACGAGCGGCGGACGGGUGAGUAAUGUCUGGGAAACUGCCUGAUGGAGGGGGAUAACUACUGGAAACGGUAGCUAAUACCGCAUAACGUCGCAAGACCAAAGAGGGGGACCUUCGGGCCUCUUGCCAUCGGAUGUGCCCAGAUGGGAUUAGCUUGUUGGUGGGGUAACGGCUCACCAAGGCGACGAUCCCUAGCUGGUCUGAGAGGAUGACCAGCCACACUGGAACUGAGACACGGUCCAGACUCCUACGGGAGGCAGCAGUGGGGAAUAUUGCACAAUGGGCGCAAGCCUGAUGCAGCCAUGCCGCGUGUAUGAAGAAGGCCUUCGGGUUGUAAAGUACUUUCAGCGGGGAGGAAGGGAGUAAAGUUAAUACCUUUGCUCAUUGACGUUACCCGCAGAAGAAGCACCGGCUAACUCCGUG
rnacentral:rRNA from 1 species